UCCAGACUCCUACGGGAGGCAGCAGUGAGGAAUAUUGGUCAAUGGCCGGAAGGCUGAACCAGCCAAGCCGCGUGAAGGACGAAGGUGCCAAGCAUUGUAAACUUCUUUUGUCAAGGGACAAAAUCAGGCUCGAGAGCCUGACCGAGGGUACUUGAAGAAAAAGCAUCGGCUAACUCCGUGCCAGCAGCCGCGGUAAUACGGAGGAUGCGAGCGUUAUCCGGAUUUAUUGGGUUUAAAGGGAGCGUAGGUGGAUUGUUAAGUCAGUUGUGAAAGUUUGCGGCUCAACCGUAAAAUUGCAGUUGAAACUGGCAGUCUUGAGUACAGUAGAGGUGGGCGGAAUUCGUGGUGUAGCGGUGAAAUGCUUAGAUAUCACGCAGAACUCCGAUUGCGAAGGCAGCAUACCGGCGCCCAACUGACGCUGAAGCACGAAAGCGUGGGUAUCGAACAGGAUUAGAUACCCUCGUAC
rnacentral:rRNA from 1 species